AAAUUGAAGAGUUUGAUCAUGGCUCAGAUUGAACGCUGGCGGCAGGCCUAACACAUGCAAGUCGAACGGUAACAGGAAGCAGCUUGCUGCUUCGCUGACGAGUGGCGGACGGGUGAGUAAUGUCUGGGAAACUGCCUGAUGGAGGGGGAUAACUACUGGAAACGGUGGCUAAUACCGCAUAACGUCGCAAGACCAAAGAGGGGGACCUUCGGGCCUCUUGCCAUCAGAUGUGCCCAGAUGGGAUUAGCUUGUUGGUGAGGUAACGGCUCACCAAGGCGACGAUCCCUAGCUGGUCUGAGAGGAUGACCAGCCACACUGGAACUGAGACACGGUCCAGACUCCUACGGGAGGCAGCAGUGGGGAAUAUUGCACAAUGGGCGCAAGCCUGAUGCAGCCAUGCCGCGUGUAUGAAGAAGGCCUUCGGGUUGUAAAGUACUUUCAGCGGGGAGGAAGGGGAUAAGGUUAAUAACCUUGUU
rnacentral:rRNA from 1 species